UUCAUUAAGUCACUGCUGGCUUAGCAAGGCCAGUAUUCCUGAAUUAUCAGCAUUAAGGAGAUUAAGGCAGAAACAUCACAAGUUUCAGUUCAUUCUGGGCUAUAUGGCAAGAAUCUGUACCUGAUCCCCCACAAAAAAAAGAAAGAAAAAAGAGAGGGGGGGAAGAAGGGAAAGGAGGGAGGGAGGAAGGGAGAGAGGCGGGGGAGGAAGGAAGGAAAGAAGGAAGGAAGGAAGGAAGGAAGGAAGGAAGGAAGGAAGGAAGGAAGACUGGUUGAGGUGGCGCACACCUUCAAUCCCAGUACUGCUGUGGAUGGUUGAUUGAUAAAUAAAACACUGAUUGGCCAGUAGCCAGGCAGGAAGUAUAGGCAGGACUAGCAGAGAGGAGAAUUGAGAGAACAGGAAGGUGGAGAGGAGGAGAUGCCAGCCUGUCGUCCAGGAAACAUCAUGUGAAGGCAGCAGCAUUUAGGAAGAGGAUGCAGGAAGAUGAGGAGUUCAAGACCACCCUGAACCAGUCUAAAAAUGAAACAGAGCCAAGUGGUGGUGAUUCAUGCCUUUAAUCCCAGCAUUAGGGAGAUGGAGACAAGAAUAUAAGACAGGAGGAGACAGGAUCUCGGGCCUAUUCAGUCUGAGGAUUCAUAGAGACAAGAUCUCCUCCAUUCAGUCUGAGAUUUUGUAGAGGACUCUCAGCUAUUCCUUCAGCACCACAUCUGCCUGCAUGCUACCACGCUCCCCAUCAUGAUGAUAAUUGACUGAACCUCUGAAACUGUAAGUGAGCCACUCCAACUAAAGAUUUUCUUUAUAAGAGUUGCCAUGGUCAUGGUGUGUCUUCAAAGCAAUAAAAACCUCAAACUAAGACAGGGGUCAUAGACUAUUUCAGAGGUAGGGCCUAGUUGGAGGAAGUAGAUCACUAGGGGUGUGAUCUUGGGGACUGUGUCUUGUCCCAGGCCUGUCUGCCUCCUCUGCCAUAUACUUCCACUACCAUAUUCUGUCUUACCACAGGCCCAAA